CGGCGGACGGGUGAGUAAUGCCUAGGAAUCUGCCUGGUAGUGGGGGACAACGUUUCGAAAGGAACGCUAAUACCGCAUACGUCCUACGGGAGAAAGCAGGGGACCUUCGGGCCUUGCGCUAUCAGAUGAGCCUAGGUCGGAUUAGCUAGUUGGUGAGGUAAUGGCUCACCAAGGCGACGAUCCGUAACUGGUCUGAGAGGAUGAUCAGUCANACUGGAACUGAGACACGGUCCAGACUCCUACGGGAGGCAGCAGAA
rnacentral:rRNA from 1 species